rnacentral:lncRNA from 1 species
GACAAAAGAAAAACGUACUGUAAAAAAAAGAUCACACAUGCUUUUAUUAAUGAUUACGUUUGUAUUUUAACUAUGGACAAUUUGGCUACAUCCAAGGGGAGUUGUGAAGAGGCAUAGCAAUGGAUUUGACUUGAAGAUAGCUAUCGAGAGCGUCCAUGCCACUUUCACGACAAUUACCACUCAUCUUGUAGCCACCGUAAGGCGAGUCGAGGUCAAAUGCGAAGUAGCAGUUAACCCAAAUGACUCCAGCUUUGAUUGAUCUCGAAACCGUGUUGAUCACGUCAACGUUUUGGCUCACUAUUCCAGCUGCUAGACCGUAUUUCGUGUUGUUUGCGCAUUUGAUUCCUUCCUCCAUAGUCCUGUGGAAGCAAAUAUAUAUAGAGAUGUUUAGUGUUCUAUGGAAUGUGAUCAAGAAUGAGAAGAGAAAAUGGGGGAGUUUUCGUUUGCUUUACUUGAAUUUCAUCAAAGACAUAACUGGUCCAAAGAUUUCUUCUUUGUAUAUCUUCAUAUCGUCCUGUAACCAACAAAAAUAAAAACCCAUUAUUUAAAACAAACUUGUUACUAGGGACUUACGCGACAUUUCUGGUCCCGGUCCUAGUCCGAAGGAUUCAAGAAAUGUGUAAUAUUACCGUGACAUCUGCGAAUAUAGUUGGUUCGAUGUAGUAUCCUUUGUCUCCAAUAGCGUUCCCUCCAGUUAAUAACGUAGCUCCUUCGUUUUUGCCAUGCUCAAUGUAAGAGAGAACCUUCUCAUAUUGUUUUUUAUCCACCUGAAGACACCAAAAAAUAAUCAACUAAUAUAAUCUACUUAAAUCUACUCAUAAUCAAAGAUCAAUGAACUAGUCUAUUUUACUUGAGGUCCUUGUCGAGAAGUGGAAUCAAAAGGGUCACCAACGGGCCAGUCUUUAACCUUCUCCACCAUUUUCGCUACAACCUUAUCGUAUAUACCUUCUUGGACAAACACACGAGAGCUCGCCACGCAGAUCUCACCCUGCACAAUCCACCAAAUAUGUUUUACAUAACAAUGUCACAAUAUUGGUUGAUAUUUGGCCUCUAUGAUAUUAUACCUUGUUGUAGAAGCAACCUAGUAGCGCAAGUUCGGCGGCUUUGUUAACAUCUGCAUCAUCGAAAAUGAGAAGAGGCGAUUUUCCGCCUAAUUCAAGGGACACUUUUUUUAGAUUGCUUGUGGCUGCGGCUUGCAUUAUCUUCCUCCCAACAUCAGUUGAUCCCGUGAAACUAACCUGAGCACAAAAAAACAAAAGACAUGAAUUCACAUACAACUAACAAAAGCCCCAUUACUUGAUGAAUCCACAAACUAAUUAUCUCAUAAGACGAUAGUUAUUUUACUUUGUCAAUGUCCAUAUGGGAGGCAAUGGCAGCUCCAGCAGUUGAUCCAAAUCCAGUCACCACGUUGAUCACGCCAUCAGGAAAUCCCGCCUGUGAAUUUUCAACAAAAAUAAAUACAAUGUUUAGAUAGUUAAGCUUUAAUUUCUUCGAUUGCCUACACGUUUGGCAUUACUAUGAACAAGCUAUAGUUGUGUGUUUACUUUUAAAAUGAUACCAAAGCUUUUAGUGUUUUAUGUGUAUGGAUUGUUUCUUUGUUUAUGUGUAUGGAUUGUUUCUUUGUUUAUAUUUGUUUAUGUGUAUGGAUUGUUUCUUUGUUUAUGUUAUAUAGUAUUAAGAGUAAACGUAUACGUAACCACAAUAUACAAAUUACAAACAAACAAACAAACAAAGCGAUAUUUUAUAUGAUUUUAGAAAAUGUUUGUUUUAAAAAAUUAUGUAUAGAACAACCACGAUAUACAAACAAACAAAGAGAUAUUUCAUAUGAUACUAUUAUUUAGAAAAAGUUUGUUUUAAAAAAAUUAUGUAUAGAACAUACUUAAUAAAUAAAAAAUGAGAUAGAUAAACUUACUUCUUUCGAGAGAUGAGCAUAGAACAAAGCAGAGAGUGGUGUCUGCUCUGCUGGCUUGACCACCAUGGUGCAACCAGCAGCUAAAGCCGGAGCCACUUUCAUGGCAAACAUAAUGCUUGGAAAAUUCCAAGGGAUGAUGUGGCCGACCACUCCAAUAGGUUCUUUAAGUGUGUAUCCGAACAAAGACGGACGUGUCAUUCGAAGUGUCUCGCCGUGGAUUUUAUCCGCCGCACCCGCAUAGUACCGGAAAUGUCCGGCUGCAGCCGGAAUGUCAUUCAUUUUUCCCACUUGGAACAAUUUUCCGCCGUCAACCGCAUCAAGAGCAGCCAAUUCUUCAAUAUUCUGCUGUAUUAAGUCUGUAUAUUUGUUGAUAAUCCUUGCCCUCUCCUGAUCCGAUUAAAAUCACCGAAGCAUACAAUUAUAAACGACCUUAUCAAAAUUAGUUUAUUACACAUAAAACUAAAUUUGUAUAUAUACAUGGAAAAUUAAAAUAUGAUCAUAAUUAAUAUGAAUCAAUCUAUUUAUCAUCAUUUAGUUUUAGGUUGAAAAUUCAUCUAAUUUAAUAAUACAAACAACCUUAUCAAAACAAGAUUGUUAUAAAAUAUAAGUAAACUUAGAUAGAGUUUUCUGAAUAUGGGUAAACGUUUUUCUUAAUAACAUGAAAAUGACUUCGUGACACUAACAGCAAAAAUAAGUCAAAUCUGGACUCGUUCCCUAUACUGUAAAAAAUACACGAAUCAGUAUGGAUAUAUACUAAGAUACAACCCUAAUAAAUACAUAUUUAUUAGUGACCCACUACGUAUGGGACCACAUCAAUCAAUAAAUAUCAAUUAUUUUUUAUUUUAUAUAUUAUUUAUCAAUAAUUUGCUAACCAAAUUAAAAACGGGUAGGUACAAUAAAAAACAUGAGGUGAGAAAGAUAGGAACGUACGAAGCCAGUCAUUCGAGGCCAAGGACCAUGAUCGAAGGCGUGACGUGCAGCGUUAACGGCCAAGUCAACGUCUUCUUUGUCUCCUGCUGCUAUUUUCGCGAUCACUUCACCGUUCCUUGGGUCUAUGGUUUCAAAGGUUUUACCUUUAAAGUUUAAACACAUUAAAACAAAAACUGAAUGAUCAAAUAUUAUGUUUCAGAAAAAGAUUAUGCCAAAUUAAAUCAACCAGUCGGUUCAAUAUUCAAUCACGAGUUUUUACAUCUUCGUUUACAUUGUUAAGAACAAUACUUUAGCAAUAAUAUUAGUAAAAAAAACUUCUAGAAAAGGUUGCACCAAAAAAAAAACUUCUAGAAAAGGAAGAAAAAUAUUAGAGAAGAAAAUUAUAAAUUUGGGCUGAGAAGAGAAAUAGUCAGGUGGGACCAUCAACCACUGGUGUUUGAUAGUAGAACAUGUUUCCAGUCAGGAUAGCUUUUGAUAUAGGUUGUCAGAAGAAAAAAUGUUUCUUCCAACAACUUAAUAGUCAUCCAAAUUAGCCACUGAACUUUUAGUUGUACAUAUUUUAGGGAUUGGUCUAGGCUCAUGAUUCGCAUCCAAUGAAACCAGAUCCGAAGGAUACCGAAACAAAACAUUGGUGUCAUCCCAAAAAUUGAAGUGUUUAACAUGCAUAUAUUACCUGGUUCUCAAAAUAUCAAAAAUAUCUGUGUGGAUUAUACGUAUCCUAAAUCAUAAUUGUUUCAAGUUUCAUAUAUUUCAGAACGAUCAAAACAUUUUCAAUCUUUUUGGGGAGACGUAAUUUGGUUAAAUGCACAGAGAAGAAUCUGAGGCAGGGAUUUAGAUAGUCAAAGCCAAAAUCAGAAAAUAGGAAGGAUCUUGAUACAUAUUUUCUUCUGUUAAUGUCAACGUUUUGGAAUUGUGAGAUUAAGUAGAUAAGUAGUGAAAUUUAAAAACCUGAAGCAGCAUCAAGAAACUGGCCGUUAAUGAAAAGCUUGGUGAAUUUGAUCUCCGGUAACUUCGCCGUCGCGCCUCCGUUGCAUUUACCGUUCUCCAUCUUUCUCCUUUUUUUCUCUCUCUCUCUCUGUUCAGAGGACAAUAGAAGGACAGAGAGGUUAUGUAUGUAUUUAUAUCCAAGCCUCCCGUUUCACACGUCAGCAAGGCAAGUGAUUCAACAAAGUUUCGGAGCAUCAAUAUCCCAAAAACCCAAAUGGAAUGCUUAUUAUUAUUAUAAUCUUUUUUUUAGUUUUUAAUUAAAAAUAAAAUAAAAACAGAACCAAUCGUAGACCGCCACGUAUCGUGAGGUCUGCAAAACAGUACAAGAUACACCCAACAAAGUUUCUUAUUCUACGACUAUAAAGCAUGGUUUUUUCAAUAAUCGUGGGCCCCACCACGUAAGAAACGCUCAGCAUACUACGAUGCAGAUGCUCUUAAGGGUGAGGUUUUUCACAAAAUAAUAGACCCCACACCUACAUACACAUAUACAAUAUAUACUUAUACACAUAUGAAUUUUUAGAAUUCCAAUGGGUAAAAGCCCAGUAGUCUAAUAUACUAAACUGAAAAAGAAGGGGGGGAGAUAAAUUUUGACUGACCUAUCGUCUUGUUGAUGCAGAUAAAUAUUUAGACAUUAUCUAGUGUUUUUUUUUUCAGCAGACAUUAUUUGCUUACAUUAUUAUUAAGAAUACCAAUGUAAUUCUACUUAAGACUUAUUUAUUAUUACAACCAAUAUUUUUAAAUUCGAUCCGGACACUGAACCGGAUAAUUUUAUGGGUCACCAGGUUAUUGAAUCGAUCGCCGGCAAACCGGGGUGUAAUAAACUGAGAAGGGGGGGGGGAGGUGUAAUAAAUUUUUACCGAGCUAUCGUCUUGUUGAUUCAGGUAAAUAUUUGGACAUUAUCUAGUGUUUUUUUUUUCCAGCAGACAUUAUCUGCUUACAUUAUUAUUAAGAAUACCAAUUUCAUUCUAAUUAAGACUUAUUUAUUAUUACAACCAAUAUUUUUAAACUCGACCCGGACACUGAACCGGAUAAUUUUAUGGGUCACUAGGUUAUUGGAUCGAUUGCUGGCAAACCAGGAAUUAAUUAAUUAAUUAAUUUUUAUAUAAUAAUAUAUUAGCGAUUAAAAAUAUAAUAUAUACUUUAUGUAUCAAACAAAGUUUACAAACUACUUAACUUUAAUUUAUUUUUUUUCAAUUUUAUUUGAUAUAAAAAUAUCAGAAAAUAAUUUAGACUAAGUAACAAUUUUUGUAACAAGUUAAGAGUUAUGGAAUUUGAUAAAAAUAUGAAGACUUAAAAUUCAUAAGUAUUUAAAACAUGAGUGAUAAAAUUAUACUUUAAAUCCAAAAUAAACCAAAAGUAAAACAUCAAAUUGUAAUAGAUUAUUGAUAACAAAAAUAAACUAAUACCAAAUUACAUGAACUAUUUUAUUUCUCUCUCUAUCAUUGUUAACUUCAUUUUCUUCAAGUGACAUAGUUAAAUGUUCAUUAAAAUCUAAAAAUCACAAAUAAAUAGUUUAAUUAGUAUUAUAUAUGAUAAAAACUAAAAACUUAAAUUCUUAAUUAGAAUACAAAACAGAUUCUAGUAACCUAAAUUAAAAAAAAUCUAAGAAUAUAAAGUAAAAAUUACCUACUAAUUCAACCACUGGUUAAAUCGGUAGUCGGAUUCCGGAUUUUAAUGGUUUUUUAUGGGUUUUAUUGGUUUUUUAUGGUUUUUUUAUAAAACUCAAACCAAAUUAUACAUCGGAUCAUCGAGUUUACCAGUUAGACCGGUGGCGGUUCUUCGGCUAAACCGGAGUUCGGUUUAGCCUGUGGGGUUGAUUCGGGGGAGUUUGUGUUUAUGAACACUAAGGUUUAUUUGGAGAAGAGUAAUGGUUUUGAUGAGAUGAUGGAUAGUCCUGGUGAUUCGGAGGAGGAUGAUGAUGAGGAGGAGGAGGUUGAGUAUGAGAGGAGGAGGAAGAAGGGGGACGAUGCGGCGUCGUAUAAGCUCUUGGCGGAGUCGGUUGAGAGGUUUGGCAAGGUUUAUGAGAAGAUGGAGAGGAGUAAGAAGGAGCAGAUGAAGGAGUUGGAGAAGAUGAGAGGUGAGUUUCAGAGGGAUUUGGAGUUGCAGAAGAAACAGAUUGUGGAGAGAGCUCAGUCUGAGAUCGCUAGGCUACGUGAAGAAGAGGAGGAGAACGAGACUCAUCAUGAUGAUGAUGGUGGUGAGAGUGAAGAUGAGGGGAUGGACAAUGAUUCUGAUGUCAAUCUCAGUGAUUGAAUCAUUUAAUAACACUAGGUUUGUGUGUUUGUUUUAUUAGAUUCAAGAAAGAUUAUGUUUUUGUUUUUCGUCUUGGGGGAAUUCAGAAUUAUUAAGUUUCUGUAACUUUUGUUUGAUGGUUACAAGUUUUAUUGAUAUGGAUUAGUAAGGAUUAUUGUAAUAGCCAUGACAAGUCUCUCAAAUCCAUGCAUUGUUUUAUUUCCUCGUCAAGUCUCUCAAAUCCAUGCUGCUUCAAGCCUCACCAAGGAGUAAGUCAUUUGGAACAGGCAAUUGAUCAUCAUCAGCUGCAACUGCAAGUGGAUUCUAAAAGUAUUGGGCCAUUUGUUUCCUGAUUUUGAUUUGUAUUUUUUAUUCAAUAAAAGUAACGGCCUGGGCAUGCUUCUAGGAGAGAAAUUUAAAGCAAUUUCAAAAGAUCUCAGGACAUCGAGGCAGCUAUGAUGUGAAUUCAGGCUGUUUAGUGGCUCUUUCAGUAAGUAUUGUUCGAGCUUCAGUAUUCUCCACUCAUAUCUUGGUUAUGGUACAAGAUUAAUAACUUAAAGUUAGGUACAUGUCAAACCAUAUACCAAACUAAAUUCGUAUAGUUAUCAUUUACACAUUUAAUAGAAUCUAACGGGAACGGGAGGUGCGGAUGCUGGUGGAGUGAGAGAUAUACAUAGACAUUAGAAAUGUAGAUUUCUGAAAUAGCUAUAAGACUCCUUGACAUGCAAUUGGACACUAUAAUCAUUGUUAAACGGAGAUCCAGCUACACGUACUGAUAAAAUUUGUUGCAAAAAAAAAAAGAAGAAGCAAUUGUUGACAUCCUAAUCCGAAGAUCCUUACUGCUCGAAUAAGAUUUGCUAAAAAGGAGUGUACACGUUUGAACGAAAAAUCACUUGUACGAGACAAAUAAUAAACCUCUUUUGUUAACUAGUGUUUCAAAAAAUAACAAAACUCUUAUUGAUUUAGUAAAUGGACAAAAGAAAAACGUACUGUAAAAAAAAGAUCACACAUGCUUUUAUUAAUGAUUACGUUUGUAUUUUAACUAUGGACAAUUUGGCUACAUCCAAGGGGAGUUGUGAAGAGGCAUAGCAAUGGAUUUGACUUGAAGAUAGCUAUCGAGAGCGUCCAUGCCACUUUCACGACAAUUACCACUCAUCUUGUAGCCACCGUAAGGCGAGUCGAGGUCAAAUGCGAAGUAGCAGUUAACCCAAAUGACUCCAGCUUUGAUUGAUCUCGAAACCGUGUUGAUCACGUCAACGUUUUGGCUCACUAUUCCAGCUGCUAGACCGUAUUUCGUGUUGUUUGCGCAUUUGAUUCCUUCCUCCAUAGUC